GCAGUCGGUCCUUUAUACUCGUGGCUACACACACGCUACAAUGGCCAGCACAGUAGGUUGCUAAGCCGCGAGGUGGAGCCAAUCCAUAAAGCUGGUCUCAGUUCAGAUUGCAGGCUGCAACCCGCCUGCAUGAAGAUGGAGUUGCUAGUAACCGCAGGUCAGCUAUACUGCGGUGAAUACGUUCCCGGGGCUU
rnacentral:rRNA from 1 species